rnacentral:rRNA from 1 species
GCCUAAAGCGUCCGUAGCCUGCUUUGUCAGUUUUCGGUUAAAUCCAUACGCUCAACGUAUGGGCUGCCGGAAAUACUGCAAAGCUAGGGAGUGGGAGAGGUAGACGGUACUCGGGAGGAAGGGGUAAAAUCCUUUGAUCUCUCGAUGACCACCUGUGGCGAAGGCGGUCUACCAGAACACGUCCGACGGUGAGGGAUGAAAGCUGGGGGAGCAAACCGGAUUAGAUACCCGGGUAGUCCCAGCUGUAAACUAUGCAAACUCAGUGAUGCAUUGGCUUGAUGCCAAUGCAGUGUUGCAGGGAAGCCGUUAAGUUUGCCGCCUGGGAAGUACGUACGCAAGUAUGAAACUUAAAGGAAUUGGCGGGGGAGCACCACAAGGGGUGAAGCCUGCGGUUCAAUUGGAGUCAACGCCAGAAAUCUUACCCGGAGAGACAGCAGAAUGAAGGUCAAGCUGAAGACUUUACCAGACAAGCUGAGAGGUGGUGCAUGGCCGCCGCCAGCUCGUGCCGUGAGAUGUCCUGUUAAGUCAGGUAACGAGCGAGAUCCCUGCCUCUAGUUGCCACCAUUACUCUCAGGAGUAGUGGGGCGAAUUAGCGGGACCGCCACAGUUAAUGUGGAGGAAGGAAGGGGCCACGACAGGUCAGUAUGCCCCGAA